rnacentral:rRNA from 1 species
GACGAACGCUGGCGGCGUGCCUAAUACAUGCAAGUCGAACGCAGUGGGGACAGGUGAGUAACACGUGGAUAACCUCCCAUCAGAGGGGAUAACACUUGGAAACAGGUGCUAAACCGAUACUGAUGGAUGGACCCGCGGUGCAUUAGCUAGUUGGGGAGGCAACGGCUCACCAAGGACACGAUGCAUAGCCGACCGGAGAGGGUGACGGGCCACACGGGGACUGAGAAACGGCCCAGACUCCGACGGGAGGCAGCAGUGGGGAAUCUUCGGCAAUGGACGAAAGUCUGACCGAGCAACGCGGCGUGAGUGAAGAAGGUUUGCGGAUGGUAAAACUCUGUUGUUAGAGAGGCGGUAUCUAACCAGAAAGCCACGGCUAACUACGUGCCAGCAGCCGCGGUAAUAC